rnacentral:rRNA from 1 species
CCCCGAUUCAUCGGGGGAGGCUUGACCCACAAAACGAACCUUGACCUCAAAUCGGUGAGACUACCCGCUGAACUUAAGCAUAUCAAUAAGCGGAGGAAAAGAAACUAACAAGGAUUCCCUAGUAACUGCGAGUGAAGCGGGAAAAGCUCAAAUUUAAAAUCUGGUGGCCUUUGGUCAUCCGAGUUGUAAUUUAGAGAAGCGUCUUCCGCGCUGGACCGUGCACAAGUCUCCUGGAAUGGAGCGUCAUAGAGGGUGAGAAUCCCGUCUUUGGCACGGACCCCAGGGCUUCUGUGAUGCGCUCUCGAAGAGUCGAGUUGUUUGGGAAUGCAGCUCAAAAUGGGUGGUGAACUCCAUCUAAAGCUAAAUAUUGGCGAGAGACCGAUAGCGAACAAGUACCGUGAGGGAAAGAUGAAAAGCACUUUGGAAAGAGAGUGAAACAGUACGUGAAAUUGUUGAAAGGGAAACGCUUGAAGUCAGUCGCGUCGCCCGAGACUCAGCCUUGCCUUGGCUUGGUGUAUUUCUCGGCUGACGGGUCAGCAUCAAUUUUGCCCCUUGGAUAAUGGCGAGGGAAAUGUGACACCUUUGCGGGUGUGUUAUAGUCCCCUGUCGCAUGCAAGGGUCGGGAUUGAGGAACUCAGCACGCACCUUUUGGUGUCGGGGCCUUUGCCCACGAUACGUGCUUAGGAUGUUGGCGUAAUGGCUUUAACGACCG